AUCACAAGUUCAUGAGAUCGAGACCAUCUUGGCCAACAUGUGUGAGGGUUCUCCAGCACCUAGACUGUGUCCCAGUGCCUGGCUACUGCUUCAAGGACCAUGAAGUCGAUGACACCACGAGGAUAAGGACUGAGUCUGUUUUCCUCAAUCCUGCGUUCCCAGUGAUUAUAAGAGUGUCUGGCACAUAGGAGGAUCUCAAUCAAUAUUUGUGCAAUGAAGAAAUGAGGGACUUAAGGUGUACAGAUGACCGAGAAGCAAGGCUGAGAGAGGUGGAAGCACUCACCCAAAGUUACACAGCCAGGAAAAGACAGAGCCAGGCUGUACUGCAAAAUGCUGGUUUCUGCAGCAGCCUCUCUGCAACCUGAGGGCAGCAAUGCCGACAGGCAGCAAGCUGCAGGCACACUUGACAGAUGUGAAGAUCUGGGUUCUGGGGAUGCUGUUGAGCUGCUCGAUGAGCCCACUUUGGACCUGCCCUACCGCCAGACUUUUUGUGAUCCAAGUGCAAGGAAAUUACAGGGCUAUCAACUCUAUCUCUUUCCAAGACCAGAAAGUCGGCAGAUGGAGAACGGUUUCUAGAUGGGGAGGGAAUCUGCCUUUGGAACUUUUAGCGACCUGGUAUGGUUCAACAUUCCAUCACUAUGCAAAAAUAAAUAAAUAAAUUGCAGACCAACGUACAAAGGAAAGCAGCAAAGUUACUCUUCGCGGGGACGGUUGUGAACAAGGUAACAUCUUAGAGACAGACCCCGGGGUCUGUAGCUUUGCAUUAAAGCCAUAGUCUCUAACUGGAGGCAGCAAAAUGUUCUUCCGCCCCACUGGGGUGAA
rnacentral:lncRNA from 1 species